CGCAGCGAUCCUCCUGCCGCAGCCUCCUGAAUGCUGGGAUUACAAGCAUGCCCCACUACACCCACCUCUGUUCUAUUUCUAAGGCUGAAAUAUCCCUUUAUUCAUUUUUCACUAGGAUAAGCCAGAUCACCUCAUCUGACGACAGCUUGUUUAUGUAGUGUGCCUAUUUAUUUAUAUACAGAUGUGCAUUUUAAUUCCUUCCUUUCUGGUUCAGGAAGCCAUGUUGGUAAUGAAUUUUCAUUAAAGUGGUACAAGAGUGGAAAAUGAAAUAAACUUCGACACAUUUUCCAGAAUAAUCAACACCAGCUGAACGUGAGAACCAAACAAUUAUUACCUCCAGAAUCAGCCCCCUGUUAUUAAAAUGCAAUUACACUCUGAGAAGUCACCCGGCAGGGGGUUGUGCUUAUUUUUUUCUCAGUCAUUUUCACACAUUUUCUCAGGGUCCAGGGACACUGCCUUCUCACUCUCCUAAAACUAAACCACCACAGGGCUCAAGGAUACAAGAACUUGGUUCUUUUUCUUUUUGUCUUUUUGAGACAGGGUCUCGCUAUGCAGUUCAGGCUGGCCACGAGCUCACUUUGUAGCCCAGGCUGGUCUCAAACUUGCAACCUGAGUGCUGGGAUUAUAGGCAUGCGUCGGCACCACGCUCGGCAAGAACUUGUUUCUUCCUCAGUUGAUUUCAGAGCUGCCAGUCACACAGAGAGUCAGCCCAGUCGCGUCGUCUGCAGACGUGUUUAUGUGACUCACACAGUGUGUUACAGCUGCACAAGCCUGGCUGCCCAUGCAGAGCGUCACCUGUCCACACUGGACUGGUAGCUUCUCUGGGGACUGGGAGAGCUCAGCGCUCCUCUCAGAGGCACAAGUCCUCCAGGGCCCUCUGUCCCCACAGGCCGGUCCAGGUUUGCUUUCCCGGCAGGGCUGGGGGAGAGAGGGUCCCAGCAUCGCCCUCCCGGAGCCACAGCCAUCCCGACUGCGGGGUCUCUGGGAGACGGCUGCAGUGGCAGUGGGGACGUACAUGCAGCGGGGUUCCUGGCAGCUAAAGACAGAAGGAGCCACAGGCCUCCUCCAGACACCCCGCCUCCUUCGAGCACUCGUCCCCUUGUCUGCACCGCUUUCUGCAGCAGCUCUGGAGUCCUCUUUCCCGAGGGUCUGCAGUUGCCCUGUCUUGGCUGCCCCGAUGUCCAGGACGUCUCCCUUCCACGCUGUGUCUGCACGGGAUGGCCCUGGGCAGCAGCCGUCACCGCAGUUGUGGGCACCCCGGCAAAGACGCUCACAAGGGAUUACUGCAAUACACUUAAAAAAUGGUCCCGCUGGGGUUAAGGCCUCAACUGUGAUUUUGGGGACACGACUCAGCCUGCAGCAGCACCCCGGCAGUGUCCAGGAGAUUUCCUGGCUGUGCACUUGGAAGCCCUGGCCGGGCCGUGGGAGGCAGGCCGGAGCGCCGGGGUGGCCCGUGAGGACGGAGCGUGGGUGCAGAGUGCGGGGACCAGGAGGGCCUCGGGGAGGUGGGGUGUGGCUGCCGGCUCCUGGCGAGGACCCCGCUUUCCCUGCUGCGCUGUGGAGCGUCCCGGAUGCUAGGGGCCGGGAGUGGGCGGCUCCGGGGGCUGGGGGGGGGUUGUUUCCGUUCUGGCUUCUGCACCACUCAGCACAUGGGACGGGUGACUGCUUCCGCGUGUUUUUGUCCGCUUUGUCACAUCGCCUGAACUUUUUUCCUUUGGGACAUUUGAGCUGAGAAACUAUUAAAAAUAAUGAGAGUUCAGCAAGGCAGCCAGUUACAAAAUAAAUGUGCAAAAAUCAAUACCUUUCCUAUUUCCAAGAGUAGCCACUUAGAGAAAAUAAUGGAGAAGAAAGGUCUCGUUCUUGGUGGAGACGGCGACAUUUAUCACCGCAAAGCCAACUCCUAGGAGAGAUGGAUGCAGCUGCCCUCCUCCUCCUCCUCGCCGGCAUCGCCUCGGCGGGGGACGCUGUGUUCGCACUGCAGUGUCCCGGGUCCCCAGUGCAGCGGGGGGCUCGGGGAGGUGACCGGGCCGUGGGCUGAGCUCCUUCGCUGUUAGGAGCUGGGCCGAGGAGGGGUCCGGGGCCACCUGAAGCUCUGUCUCCCUCCUCGCUUCUCCUUCCCGUCCGCCUCGGCAGGAGCGGCCUUCCUCCGCCACACGUCCUGUCCUGGAGCCGGCGCCCACGUAAGCACUUCGGAGCCAGAACUGUGAGCCGGACGUGUCCUUGCUGUGACCCAGCGACGAGGACCGUGACCAAGGGACGGGAGAAGACCAAGGCUGCUGCGUGGGCCGGUCCGGCCCCUGGGGGAGGGGCUCUGGGCCCCUGUGGCUCUGCGCUGCUCACCAAGGGCGAGCCUCGAUGGAUGGACAGACAGAGACGAGAGGUGUGGAUAGACACAGCGCGGACGACAGUGACAGAGAUAGGGAGAUACAGCACAGGCUGGCACUUUCCCGGCAGGCCCGGUCUCUGUUCUUCCACCCUGGAGGUCCGGCCAGAAAGCCCAGGAUUUGUUUUUGUUGGGAGCCCUAAGGAGACGUGAGAUGAGCCAGCCAUGGCUCGACCUCAGCCACCCUGCGAGACCAGUGACGGGAGGCGUGUGGCCGGGCGUGUCUUGAGGGCCCAAUGGAGCCCAGCAGGCUGGCCCCUCACAAAGCUGGGUGACGGUGCUGCAUCCAGUGUCCAGGAGGACACAGACUAGACCCAGCUGCCAUCUGCAGGGCAGUGCAAGUCUUGUGGUUUAAGAGCCACGACAAGAGAAAGCACGUUCCCACCGGGUGGACAACGCUUGUUCGACUGUAGAAAGUGUCACUUCUCAUGGCUGGACGUGGUGGUACAGAGAGGACAACGUCACCGUGGCUCAGCUGGGUCUUCUCUGUGGAGGCCUCACCUUCGAGGGGACGCUCAAAGACUGGUGCAAUUGAAGCUGCUGCUGCUCCAGCCAUUGCUGCACAGUCUAGAGGAGGAGACUCACUACAGGAGUGCUGUCUUUGCAGGAGAAGUUUUUUUGGCCUGAAGCCUGCAGAAACCCACCUUAACAGCCCGAACUUGGCCACCAGAACAUUCCUGGGCUAGUGUCUCAUUUCAGGGAAAUGUCAUGCACUGGUUGGCCUAGAUGGGGAAAAACUGAACCAGUACUUCUUUUUAGAGGUGGGACAAGGCUGGUUGGAUUAAAGCAAAGCACAGUGUCCCCACCCUGAA